rnacentral:rRNA from 1 species
AUUGAACGCUGGCGGCAUGCCUUACACAUGCAAGUCGAACGGCAGCGGGGACUUCGGUCCGCCGGCGAGUGGCGAACGGGUGAGUAAUGUAUCGGAACGUACCAUUGAGUGGGGGAAAACGUAGCGAAAGCUACGAUAAUACCGCAUAUUCACUCCGGUGGACAGCAGGGGACCGCACGGCCUUGCGCUCUUUGAGCGGCCGAUAUCAGAUUAGCUAGGCGGUGGGGUAAAAGCUCACCAAGGCGACGAACUGAAGCGGGUAUGAGAGGAUGGUCCGCCACACUGGAACUGAGAAACGGUCCAGACUCCGACGGGAGGAAGCAGUGGGGAAUUUUGGGCAAUGGGGGCAACCCUGAUCCGGCAAUGCCGCGUGUGUGAAGAAGGCCUUCGGGUUGUAAAGCACUUUAGUUGGGGAAGAAGGUGUAUCGUUUAAGGGAUGAUACAUUUGACUGUACCCAAAGAAUAAGCACCGGCUAACUCUGUGCCAGCAGCCGCCGUAA